UACCUGCAGCUCAAGUGGUGGCCGCUAUUAUUGGGCCUAAAACGUUCGUAGCCGGUUGAGUAAAUGCCUGGGUAAAUUGUGCCGCUUAACGGUACGAAUUCCGGGUAGACUACUCAGCUUGAGACCGGGAGAAGCUAGAGGUACUCCUGGGGUAGAGGUGAAAUUCUGUAAUCCUGGGGGGACCACCAGUGGCGAAGGCGUCUAGCUAGAACGGGUCUGACGGUGAGGAACGAAACCCUGGGGCGCAAACCGGAUUAGAUACCCGGGUAGUCCAGGGCGCAAACGCUGCUUGCUUGAUGUUAGCUGGGCUCCGAGCUCAGCUAGUGUCGGAGAGAAGUUGUUAAGCAAGCUGCCUGGGAAGUACGAUCGCAAGAUUGAAACUUAAAGGAAUUGGCGGGGAGCACGGCAACGGGUGGAGCGUGCGGUUU
rnacentral:rRNA from 1 species